rnacentral:tRNA from 1 species
GUGAAUAUAGCUCAGUGGUAGAGCACAUGCUUAGCAUGCAUGAGGUCCUUGGUUCAAUCCCCAGUACCUCCA